rnacentral:rRNA from 1 species
GACGUAGGGCGCGAGCGUUGUCCGGAUUUAUUGGGCGUAAAGAGCUCGUAGGCGGCUUGUUGCGUCGACUGUGAAAACCCGCGGCUUAACUGCGGGCUUGCAGUUGAUACGGGCAGGCUAGAGUUCGGUAGGGGAGACUGGAAUUCCUGGUGUAGCGGUGAAAUGCGUAGAUAUCGGAAGGAACAUCAGUGGCGAAAGCGGCUUCCUGGACCAGUACCGACGUUCAGGCACGAAAGCGUGGGGAGCAAACAGG